UGGGAAAGGGGUUGAGACCGCUCCAGGCCGGAGCAGGUAGAGCAAUAGCUCUUAGAAAAAGAGGCCAGAAAAAGCAAAAAAGAGGUUUGAUAAGUUGCAAAUCACACUUGCAGACAGCACUCCCCAGAUUUUCAUUUAAAUCCAGGACUUUUCCAUCACCACAGACCCCCUUCUUGUUCUGCAGCUGUCGCGGGAACUUAGAGCAGGCCGAACGGGCAAUCUGAGCAGAGGCAGAACGCCAGGGACGGUUUAAAUCAGUGGAUCGCCAAGUGAGGUGCCCGAACCAGUAGCAUCAGCACCAACAAGUUGUUAGAAAUGCAACUCUCAGCCCCUCUGCAACCCGACACUCCAGGGGAGGGUCCCAGCCAUCUGUGUUCUAAUCCAUCCUGUACAGACCAGUUUGGAAACCAGUGAUGUAAGGCAGAGCCCUCGUGUCCGUCCGGCUGCACUGUUUGUAAAUACUUUAUAUACAUCUUCUCCCAUUAUAUACAGCCUCCCCAUUUUAUAGCUGAGAACAUGGGACCAGAGGGGUCAGACAGACAAGGAGGUGUCCCAACCAGCCAGAGAUGGGCCUAUGGGUGAUUACUCCCUCUCCACCUCUCUGGCUCCUGGCUCCUGGCUCCUGGCUCCUGGCUCCUGGCUCCUGGCUUCUGGCUCCCACUGCUGAACUGGCAGCACCUGUAUUGUAAUGCUAGUGUAGAGGAGGCCGUACUGGGAUUUCCACUGGGAGACUCCAGCUUCCACACAGUUCAAAAACCACCUUCCCAGCAGUGAGGCAGCUGUGUGCCCCUUCCUCCCCCUAUCACUUUCAGUUUCCAGGGGCUGAGCUCUACCUGCAGCCUCUGGCUGGUAGUACCUCUGCCACCCACCUCUCAGCCUGGCCUAGCCCUUUUCCUCCAUGUGAACUACCUACUUCUCGCACAGCACAGAAAUAUUGGGGAACUGGGCUGUCAGUUUUGAUGCUAGUAUGGGGCAUGCUGGGGUGCUUGUCAAGUAUCUCCUUGCUAUGAAUUCUCCUCAAAUUCCUGCAAGGUCAGGAUUCCAGAGAGAGUAUGCAGGCCUGACAAAAGCCCCCCAAGACCUCCCACCCAGCCUUAAUAUCUGGCACGACUCCUUGUUCCAAGGUCCAGGGUUAGAAUUAAACAUGUGGCUGGCAAAAGCAGGUGUGUGUCCCCCUCACCCCACUCCACCUCAUCCUCCCCCACCCCGCAAUAACAGUUAUUUUCUCAUAGUCACAGGGAACCAUGGAGAAGUGGAGAGCCAACUGCAUCUCAAUUACAGUCAUUGCCUUUUGAAAGACUGUCAAUGGCAGGCAGAGUUCUGGUUGGUCACAUGCAUGUGCUCAGAGGGCAUGGAGCUAGCUGUGAAUAACAGCACCUGCAUGGGCCCAGCCAUCACCUCUGGCCGUGCAGGACCUGCUCCAGCUGGCCCAGGACAUAGCCCAGGGCUGCCACUACCUGAGGAAAAUCUUCCUCUGGGGACAUCCACUUGACUGGCAGGUAUCCCAUCAUGACCCAGUGUUGGCAGCACCGGCUUGAACUCCGCCCUAGUUUUGCCAGCAUCUUGGAGCAUCUUCCAUACUGGACUUCAAUACAGGGCAGGUGUGUCCGUGACCUGCCCUGACCAUCCUGUCUUGGGGGUCAGGAGGGAGGCCAUAAAACAACACUGGCCCACUGCUCCCUUACCCUGAUGUGCUCCCCCAAGACCCUGAUGUGCUGAAUUCAUCUCUGCCAAUGGAGCUAGGGCCCAGGAAGAGAAAGGGCUGCUGGGCUGGGGAGCAGGUCUUUGGAGGGGCUAAGGUCCCCACAGGCCCAGGAACUGAGUCUGAAGAACUUCAAGAGCUGGAAAGGGAGCUGGCUGCCCUCUGGCCUCAAGCCCCCCAAUGCCAGAGGACUCCCACCUUGGGAUCCUUGGAAUCCCAUCUAUAGCUGCUGGGCCCCCAGGGGCCCUGAGGGAGGACAUAGGCAUUGGUGCUAGCAGUGGUUCCUCCCUGCACUCCUCCCCAGGUUUCUAAGUGGCUUGUUAUUCCAGUAGUCUCUCCCCCACACCUCCACCCCAGUUUGUACUGCAUGCUUGGGCCUGUCUCAAGGUUGGCCUGCACCACAGGACUUUCCAUCCUGGAAACCAGACCCAGGCCUCCUGGGGAGGAGCCUGGUCACUCCCAAACUUUAAACUUUGGGACCAGAGCAGAGGCCAACCCCCUUUCCCUGGGAUGUGGGUGGCCAGUUGAAAUUGCCUCCUGCAGGAAGCCUUUGCUGGACUGCCCUUCCCCUAUGAGUACCCUUCACCUGGGCAGUCCACACAACCCUACAGACAACUAAUAAAGAGCUCUUCUCACCCUGCCAGUGUGGCUCAGCUGGUUGGAGUGUCAUCCUGAUGCACCAAGGUUGCUGGUUGGAUCCUGGUCCGGGCACAUACUGGAAG